GAUGAACGCUGGCGGUAUGCUUAACACAUGCAAGUCGAACGGACUCUUCGGAGUUAGUGGCGGACGGGUGAGUAACGCGUGAGAAUCUGGCUUUGGGUUCGGGACAACCACUGGAAACGGUGGCUAAUACCGGAUGUGCCGAGAGGUAAAAGAGAAAUUGCCUGAAGAUGAGCUCGCGUCUGAUUAGCUAGUUGGUGAGGUAAAGGCUCACCAAGGCGGCGAUCAGUAGCUGGUCUGAGAGGAUGACCAGCCACACUGGGACUGAGACACGGCCCAGACUCCUACGGGAGGCAGCAGUGGGGAAUUUUCCGCAAUGGGCGAAAGCCUGACGGAGCAAUACCGCGUGAGGGAAGAAGGCUCUUGGGGUGUAAACCUCUUUUCUUAGGGAAGAACAAAAUGACGGUACCUAAGGAAUCAGCAUCGGCUAACUCCGUG
rnacentral:rRNA from 1 species